rnacentral:lncRNA from 1 species
GACGCCGUCGUAGAUCCUCAUUGUGCCUCCGGGAAAGGAUCUCUUCGAGGAUCCCCUCUUGUCCACGGGUCCGCGACCGAGGUGCUCGUAAAUUUCAUAUUCCAUUCCACUCCUGGAAACAUGUACCUUUUCAUUUGAUGGAGUUCUGUUCUUAUGUAAUUUUAAGUCAUAUAGGGAGGACUCGAUUUAAAGGAAAGAAUUGCAAGGAGUUGUUUUUUAGGAUGUUCCCGAGGCACUAAAGAACUCGCACUAUCACUGUAUGAAGGUAUGUAUAUAUUUGAUCAAACUCUUCUGAAAUGUGAAUGCUUUUGAGGCAUCAAACUAGAUUGUCGUUGGAUGUGUUUGUUCUUCUUACUGCGUAAAUGAGUGAUUUAGGUCAGAAAGUUGACUGCUGAGCUAGAGUGUCAAGGACUAUACCAUGACAGAACUCUAAAUCAUUCAGAAAAAACAGUGUACUUCUGCAACAUGGCCAACCAUUGAGAUAGUCAUGAAACAUCCAGUUGCUCUAUGGUUUGUCUGUUAUAAUUUCAUAUGCAGAAGGACUGAUGCACGUAAGCACUGUCGGUUUGAAUGUAGCAGAAUGAUGCUACAGAAUGCUUGGUUCUUCACCAUACUAAGAAAUCAAAUUGUUUUUCGGCUGGUAGGUUGUCAAAAGUCGUAAAUGUAGUGAAGCAUAGAGUAUUAGUUGAACAUGGUAGAUGUAACGGAGCUCUAUUAUACUUAAAAGAGAAUAAUAAAAAAUGUGAGGAGAUCAAGAAGUUGAUAGUUGAGCUGGACUGUUUGAGGAAUUGGGUUCAGGAGCUCAAAGCCAACAACAACCGGGGCUUCAAAAAAUAUGUAAGCUCUCCUGUAGAUUGGUUGCAUGUUCUUUAAUUAGCUAUCGUUGUAGUCAUUUAUCAUUUUCUUGUCCAUAUGUUUGUCACUAAUAUUAGUAUACGGAAGGAUUUCCUGUACAUGAUGUUUGUUUGAGAAAAAACCUUUAGUUAUGGUUUCUCCAUGUGAACUAUUCUGACGGAAAUAUGUCAAUCAGGUACUCCACUAUUAUGCAGCUCUAAAAGUAAUUAUUUGUCUUUAGAGACUACUUUGUGUCGAUUCAGUUAUAUCUUUAUUCACCUUUUUCAACUAGGCUGAUCCAUACUCUUAUGGAACUAAUUUUGGUGUGCCAUAGGUAAUAGGUGGUGAAAUCUCUUCCCUCGAACUGAUGAAAAUAUUUCCCUUUUUUCCUUGCAGCCUUACUAAUUAGUUUUGCAACUCUGCUCCUACAGUAUACAUUUAACCAGUGAUGGAUGUGGAUACACAUCUGACAUAUGUUUCUGUUGUACCAGUGUUUCCUGGUAUGUUUCUGUUCUUUUCUCAAAUUUGCUUUCAUUCCAGUUACUAUUUGGCGCUCAGAUACAAAGUAUUUAGCCACGAACGUUUGAAUUUAUAGAGAUGUUAUCACACUUAUAGUUAAGAAGCUUAUGCCAUAUGAUGGCAGUAUUAACCCCUUCAUGAAAAUGUGUUUAAAAGGUAAUGAAAAUCAGCUGCUGGAUGCUCAUUUACGUUCCUUUUUUCCCUGUUCUUGUUGUACACAGUACAAAUCAGUUUCCAUAAUUUCUGGUAUGGUUGCUUCAAUGAUGAUUUUUCCAGAAGCACUUGCCUUUGGAAUUAAAGAAGAUCGGUUUAUGACACGGACCAGAGAUCAUACAAAGGGGUGAGCUAAUUAUGUUAUAUUGUGCUUCAUGCUAUUCUAUCACGGUUUGCGUCUUAAAAAUUUCCCUACAGAUUUCAGGGCUAGAAAAUAUGCUAAAGACAGAUACAGAGAAGACAAUCAGUGCAUCAAUAACAUUUAUGUAUAUCAAUGCAGUCUAUGAUGUAUGCUGUCAAUAAUUAUGAAUAUCAGUGCAGUCUAUGAUGUAUGCUGUCAAUAACAUUUUAUAAUUCUUUGGUAACAUCACCCAAAACUAUUUAUUUGUCUUCUCUAUUUUAUUACAGUUAACUUUGUUUUAGAUAGGGUGUUAAUAGAAAACAUUCAUUAUUUUCAUCAGCUAUAAGUGUACAUUAUGCAAAUGACAGUAACAAAAAUAGCAUGACCCAAAUUCAGGUGAGGACCCAACCAAGAGACUGUUGAUGAGAUCAAUGACACCAUAUGGAUGGACAGGCAGAAGCGGAGCAUCUCACGAAGCAGCCAACGAACAAGAGGAGCAAAGACAUCAUCUCUUGCAUCGCCGUAAACAUCCGCUGCUAGCAGUGUUUCAGCCGGUGAACAGGAGCAAAGACAACAACUGUUGUGUCCUCAUAAACUUACACUACUGACCGAGCUUCAACCUGCUAGCCCCUCAUGACUACAAUUGGUUCUAUGGCAGAUUGGUUUUACAACUUUCUGUUGUGCAGGAGCAAAGACAACAACU